AACUACCAUUUGACAUGGUAAUACUUAUUUAAGCUAUGUAUGUAAUGGCUAUUACAAUUUAUGAAUGUAUCUUACUGUUGAACAUCUGCAGAUUUUCCUCCCAACUAAUAUUACAGAAACACACUGGUACCUAGCCAUUCUUAAUGCCAAGCGACGUGAGGUGCAAAUACUAGAUUCGCUUGCCAAGCCAAUCAAUGAACAUCGACCCGAACUAGGGCGUGUGCUAUCGAGAGAGGAUUACACGGGACAAAGAAUGAACACCCACAGUUAAAACAUGAUUGGCUUGAUUUUGUUAUUACCAAAUGGGAAUACAACAAAGUCAAAAAAUUGCUAAAGCAAGGAGACAACGUCUCGUGUGGCCUAUACACCCUUAAGUUCAUGGAGCAUUGGAGUGGAUCUUAUCUCCCAGAAAAUCAAAUACAGGCAACUACAAUAAACUCUAUUCAUAUUUUGCACCAAUGCUUCCCAUUAUGAAAACCAUUUAAAAUG